rnacentral:tRNA from 1 species
CGGGACGUAGCGCAGCCCGGUAGCGCGCUUCCUUGGGGUGGAAGAGGUCGUGAGUUCAAAUCUCGCCGUCCUGA